ACGCACGCUGGCGGCGUGCUUAACACAUGCCAGUCGAACGGAAAGGCCCCUUUGGGGGUACUCGAGUGGCGAACGGGUGAGUAACACGUGAGUAACCUGCCCUUGACUUCGGGAUAACUUCAGGAAACUGGGGCUAAUACCGGAUAGGAAUCCUUGCUGCAUGGUGGGGGUUGGAAAGCUUCGGCGGUUUUGGAUGGACUCGCGGCUUAUCAGCUUGUUGGUGGGGUAGUGGCUUACCAAGGCUUUGACGGGUAGCCGGCCUGAGAGGGCGACCGGCCACAUUGGGACUGAGAUACGGCCCAGACUCCUACGGGAGGCAGCAGUGGGGAAUAUUGCACAAUGGGCGGAAGCCUGAUGCAGCAACGCCGCGUGCGGGAGGACGGCCUUCGGGUUGUAAACCGCUUUCAGCAGGGGCGAAGCUUGUGGUGACGGUACCUGCAGAAGAAGCACCGGCUAACUACGUG
rnacentral:rRNA from 1 species